GACGAACGCUGGCGGCGUGCUUAACACAUGCAAGUCGAACGGGCCUUGUCCCCUUUUUUUUGGGGGUGGGGUUAGUGGCGCACGGGUGAGUAACACGUGAGUAACCUGCCCCUCACUUCUGGAUAACCGCUUGAAAGGGUGGCUAAUACGGGGUGUCCUGGCCUGCUCGCAUGGGUGGGUUUGGAAAGAUUCGACCGGUUUUGGUUGUUUUGGUGGGGGAUGGGCUCGCGGCCUAUCAGCUUGUUGGUGGGGUGAUGGCCUGCCAAGGCUUUGACGGGUAGCCGGCCUGAGAGGGUGGGCGGUCACACUGGGACUGAGACACGGCCCAGACUCCUACGGGAGGCAGCAGUGGGGAAUAUUGCACAAUGGGCGCAAGCCUGAUGCAGCGACGCCGCGUGAGGGAUGGAGGCCUUCGGGUUGUGAACCUCUUUCGCCAGUGAAGAAGGUCCUGCUCUUUGUGGUGGGGUUGACGGUAGCGGGGUUAAUGAAGCGCCGGCUAACUACGUG
rnacentral:rRNA from 1 species